AGAAUUUUGAAAAAGAGGAGAUUUUGUUUUUAGAAGGAUGACACGUAUAUUAUUUCCAUGAGGGAAUCAGUUACAAAAGAGAAGAAAAUAAGAAAAGAAAGUGGAUUUCUUUUUUUGGAUCAGAGAAGUUUUCUUUUCAGAGGGAGAUUUUUUUUAUUAUUUUUGUAGAGAGACACAAAAGGAAGAAAAAGGAAGGGAUUCUCCUCCAACAGAUUUGGGGGGUUCUUUGGAGAAGGCUGAUAUAUAUACGUGAGAGAGGAAAAGGAGGGAGGAUUCUUUGAUUGUCAAAGGUGGAAAGGUGCACAAGAGUGGAAGAGGGAGAUUGCAGCCAGGGUUCUACCAGAAGUGCACGCUGAAGAUAUUGAUGAAGUGGAGUUCAAAAUAUCUCCAGGUGAGAUCACAGCCGUUAUGAAGUAGGUUUAGAGGAACCCGUUGAAAUUGAAAGAUGACGAACCUUCAUGUUUCAGUGAGUCAUUAAUUUUAGCAUUUUAAUAAUUCAAGAUAUGAAUAGACAACUCAGAUUGAAAGCUAAAGCAUACUCUUGCAUUUGAUGAUGAACCUGAUCCUCAACCUGAUCCUCAGAUCAUUGAUACAUUAUGGUAAAUCUCAUGAUGGGAAUGCACAUUACUUCAGGAUCACCCUUUUUGUUGCUGCUAUUAGAUCCUAUUAUAGUGAAUCUUGCUUGCUUCAUGGUGUGGGAUAGACGCUAUCUAAGGGGGCAGUAUAACUGAAGAGUAAAUGUUGAAGUGCACAGGAGUAGUAUAACAGGGGCAGUUGCAACUCUGAAACAGAGAAUGCUGUCUGUCAUGAAGAUGAAGCCCUUUUUUGGAGACCUUUUCUCUGAAGGUGGUCGGUCUGUAAUAUUUACAGAUGGAUGUGAUCAAGCCUUUGUUUCAGUCAAUCCGACUGCCAAUUACUGCAAUAUGCUAAUUCAAGCUGCUUCAAAAGUAUUAGGGUUUCUAAAAAGACUGUGUCUUUUCUCUAGAAUGGCACACCUCAGUUUAUGAGGAUGCUUGUAAAAAGCUUAGUGGGAAGCACAUGGAUAUUCUGCUUUCCAUACUCAAUUGUCAGGGUUGCUAUUCUGAAGACAGAAUUUCUGACAGCAUUACAGGUUUACAUGAGCAAAGGAAGACUGGAUACGUCCAUGAAUUUUGUUUUGAAUUGCUGCACAAUCUUCUCACACGCCAUGCUUUGUUUGGUUAACUUGAAGAAUAUUUUUUUGGGCAAAUCAUGAAUGUUGAUAGUGGUUGCUUCAUUUACAAUGAUCUAACCCUAACUUUGCUAGCUCACUCUCACUUGUAGAGUAGGUUCGGCUGGUAGCCAAUUGAGAAACAACAUUUACAGGGAAGAUAUAGAUUUCAUUGUUGAGAAGGCAAAAGCUCUCUAUUCAAAAUGUCCAAGCCUCAAGGAACUUUUUUUUUUAGGACUCUUCCCUCUAUGUUUCACAUUGAGAUUCUCCUUAUGGCAUGCCAUUUAUCUUCAGAAGUUGAGAACAUAAUGAAUGCAUAGAACCUCUUACAUUGUUGAUGCAAUCUGAUAGCAGCAUAGCCAUAGAAUCUGGUAUUUGUGCUUUUGAAAGAUUAUUGGAUGGUGAAUAACUAGUGGAGCUUGCAACAACUUGUGAUAUUGUGGAUCUCAUUGUUAGCUUGGCUUCUGGAUCAAACCAUUAGCUCACUGAGAUUUGCAUCUGUGCUCGCACAAAUCUGGGGAAGGAUCGAACUCCCCUCAAGCUAGACACUGGUCAAAGCUAGUAUUAUUGAUAAUUGUCUUCAGAUACUCCCUGUUGCACCCAGUUCAUUAUGCUUUUCAAUUACAGAACUGUUCCGCACCCUAACAUAUAGCAGUGUAAUUUCCAAAGGCUCAGCUGCUGCAAGAAUUGUGGAACCCUCCUCUUUAUGGCUUUGCUUCGUCCAGAUUUCAGUAUGUGGGGACAGCAUAGUGCUUUGCAAGUUCUUGUAAAUAUUUUGGAGAGAUCAUAAAGCCUUGCAACACUAAAAAUUGUGGCUCCCUGUUUCUGGGCUUCCUCCUGUUAGUAACAGGGUUUAUCCAGUUGAAAGGAAAAAUAUUGUUGACAUGAAUGUCCAAAAUGGUCGUUCUUCUAGCAUGACUGAGCUUUCUAAUAUCACAGCUACUUUAUCUGGCUAAAGCAUGUCAAGAAAUAGAUGUGUAGAUGAAAAUAGUCGCCUACAGUUUCAACUUCAUGCAGAAUUUGAUGAUCAGUCUGAUUUCCUGUUAAAUAUGCCCAAUGGUAAUAACCAGAGUGUGCAGCAGCAACUCACUGACAAAUCCAAAGCUGCAAAACCCUUCACUUCUACAAACUAUCUUGAUUUAGCAAGAAAAAAUAGAAUUGUAACAGAUCUCGAUGGGCAAAUAAACUUUCCUAAAAGAAUCUUUUCUUCUGCCAGUCUUUAUUCAAAGGUCCAGCUUUGAGUGGCAGUAGAGAUGGACAGAGUUUGAGUCGAGGUGGAAAUUGGGUGGGCUCUGACCUUCACUCAUACAUGGAACCGCAUGGUGUCCACUACAUGCAAGGAACUUCAGAUUAUGCAACACGUACAGCUGCUAGCCAGGGUGACCCUUCUUCAGUGAGGAAUUUCAUUGGCACUUCACAUGGAGAUUUUGUUAGGGUUGCAGAAAGCGUACAUUGAGACUUUGCUUGCUCAGCAAAAAAACAACAAUAUGAGUUGCCACUUUUAGGUAAAUCUGGUGGUUUGAAUCAGGGGUACUAUAGGAAUUCUUCGGUUAUCUUGGCGGAAAAGCGCACAAGGGUGGAAAAGGAACAAUUUGCUAUCUCUGAAGACUGCAUUACUGAUAAACCUGAGGGGUCAAAGGUAAAAGGUCGUGCAUCAACUAGUCAUAUUCGUUUGAAGGUUAAAAUGGGCAAAAUGGUAAGUCAAAGUGGUUCGAAGGAUAUUGUUCUGGACAUGGUUGGUACUUCAGAUCCUAUUCUGACCAUGUUUAGCGAUAACAGGUCUGAACUAUGCUGGGCUAUGAGUUCAGAAUUAUAGAAAUUCACAGUUGGCAUUGAAACACAAUUAAUGGAAGAAAUCCUUGGGACUGGGCAGCAUCUCACUUCAUGGGAAUCCACUUUCACAAAAGCCAUAUUAGAACAUAUAAUGUGGAUAGAGGGUGGAAAGUGCAGAAGAAUAUUCUUGCAAGAAAAGCUUGCGAUGGACAGUCACUGAUACAUCUCUCUCCUCUGAUCCACGCCACCCCUCUCCGAUCAGUCCAUUUUUUAUUCAACUUAUUCAAUCUGAAAUACUCAAGAUCGAGGUACCCGACUCUGCCUACAACUGCAGUUGAUGCAUGGCUGCCAUUUUCAUCUGGCAUGAUUCUGGACAACCUGAAAUAAGUAACUUUUGCUUGCAGUUUCUCAUCCAACAAAAUGUUGGAAGUCUUGACAUCUUUGUGGAUUAUAGGUAGCUUGCAACCAUUAUGUAAAUACUCUAAUGCUUGUGCUGUAUCAACUACUAUUCGAAGUCUGUGAUCCCAACUCAAGACAGCAGUAUUUGUAGUUGACAAAUACUCUUGCAAGUUUCCAUUAGUCAUAUACUCGUAUACAAGCCCCAAGUGUUGUCUUUCAUUGUAGUAUCCAAUGAGGGGAACCAAGUUCCUGUGAUGAAUUUUUGUCAUCAACUGAGCCUGCAGUGAUGCAAAUUGGCAACGUCCAAUCUUAGCCAAAUUGAAAAGGAACCUAUAAAUUUCCAUAGGUGUUGAGGGUUCAUAAUGAAGAAACACUUUGGCCAUUGGCUUGAUUGGGACGACAUCUUGACAGCAACCUGAGUACUAUCCUUCAAGCAGCCACCAUAUACUGUUCCAAAUCCUCCUUUACCAGGUCCACAAGAUAGCGACCACACUCGAGAGGACUAAAACUGAGGGAAAAUGAAGCAAGGGUAACAAUAAGAGUACAUUGAGUCAUCAAGAGAACCGAAUCUUAGGAGAAAUUAAGGAUCAAAUUGAACAGGUCCUUGCACUAGUUUUUGAGAAUUAUAAGUCACUUGACAAGUCAUUUGCUUCUGAGAUUAUAAAUGCUUUCAAGCCAACAACUGGUUUUGUCGCUCCUGCAUUGGGAUCCGCUGUAAAGUUGUACACACUUCUUCAUGACAUCUUGUCACCUGAAGUACAGAAUCAUCUAUGCCACUAUUUCUAGGCUGCUGCAAACAAAAUAUCAAUAAAGACACGAGCACUUGGUUGAAGAAAAUUGUUUGUGAGCAGUUGGGUGAUACCAAGCAAAACUCUACAGUGAAUUGAGGGCAUUAGAAGUUGAAAUAGAUGCUGUGGCAUAUCCUAUUUAACGGGCAAGGAAUACCGAAAGAAAUGAAAAUCAUGUCUCAGAUGGUAAUGAUAACAGGGCACAAGGAGAUGCAAAGGAUGAUAAAUUUGUUAUUCAGGCUUCUGCCAAUAAUUUAACCCUUUAGCAUGCCUUAGCUGCUGAUCGUCUAAGAAGCCUCAAGAAAACAAAAGCUCAACUUGAAAUAGAGCUUUCAAAUUUGAAAAAGGAGAAGCCUUCCAAAAUUGUUGAGCAUGACAAGGUGAUACCCAAUUUGGUCAAGGAGGAGGCAAGACCCAAGAAAAGGUUAAAUGAAAUUCUGAAAUUGGGCAAAGAGUUAAAGAAGCGAAAGAAAAUAAUUUCAUUUGAUGAUGAUGUUGAUUUUGAUGCAGUCCUAGAUGCAGCUUCUGCAGGAUUUGUCAAAACAGAAAGAGACAAGUUGGUUAGAAAAGAGACUUUAACUCCUUUCCAUAGGCUCAAAGGCUUUGAACGUCAUCUUCAACAACCAGGUCCAUCAAAUAGAGACAAUUUACCCGAGGAUAAAGAGAGUAGCAUUCACAUCAGAACUGAACCUAUUGUGAGGCAGAUCUUGGGAUUCUCUUGGCCAUCAGCUGAUGAAUUUUCUAGUUGCUACAAGUGCUGAGGUUUCUAUUGGUCAGACCAUUGACCUCAAAAGAACAGCAAAAAUGCUCUUGAAUUCAGUUAGAAACACAUUGAAAUCGCUGUAUCACUGGAGGAUUAUGCUGCCAUGAAUCCAGCCAAGCGUUUUACCUUUGUCUCCUAUAGUGCUAGAAGGUACUCUGCCAAAAAGGUUCUGGAACGCUCAAAUAUUUAAAUUGGAGGAUUUCUAAUGCUUUAAUAGCACUCA